ACACAAACAGCACCCUCAUACACACACAGCGCACUAACAGUACACUCACAAACACACAGCACCCACAAACAGCACCCUCACACAGCACAGCACACACACAGCACCUUCACACAGCACACUAACAGGACCCUAACAAACACACACACAGCACACUACCAGUACCCUCACGCACAGCACACAAACAGGACCCUCACACACAAACAGCACCCUCACACACAGAACAUUAAC